AGCUGUUUUGGGACUACAAUUCCCAUCAUCCCUGACCACUGGUCCUGCUAGCUAGGGAUGAUGGGAUUUGUAAUCCCAAAACAGCU